rnacentral:rRNA from 1 species
CUGCUGCCUCCCGUAGGAGUCUGGUCCGUGUCUCAGUACCAGUGUGGGGGACCUUCCUCUCAGAACCCCUACGCAUCGUCGCCUCGGUGGGCCGUUACCCCGCCGACUAGCUAAUGCGCCGCAUGGCCAUCCGCAGCCGAUGAAUCUUUAACCGCCGAGGGAUGCCCCUCCGCGGUGUUACGCGGUAUUAGACGGAAUUUCUUCCGCUUAUCCCCCUGCUGCGGGCAGGUUCCAUACGUGUUACUCACCCGUGCGCUGGUCG